GAUGAACGCUAGCGGCAGGCCUAAUACAUGCAAGUCGAACGGUGUAGCAAUACACAGUGGCGCACGGGUGCGUAACACGUAUGCAACCUACCUUACAUUGGGGGAUAGCCUUUCGAAAGGGAGAUUAAUACCGCAUAAGACAGUAACUAGGCAUCUAGUAGCUGUUAAAGAUUUAUCGAUGUAAGCUGGGCAUGCGUCCAAUUAGUUAGUUGGCGAGGUAAUGGCUCACCAAGACGAUGAUUGGUAGGGGAACUGAGAGGUCAAUCCCCCACACUGGCACUGAGAUACGGGCCAGACUCCUACGGGAGGCAGCAGUAGGGAAUAUUGGGCAAUGGGCGCAAGCCUGACCCAGCCAUGCCGCGUGCAGGAAGAAGGCGUUAUGCGUUGUAAACUGCUUUUAUACAGGAGGAAACGACCCUUGCGAGGGGCAUUGACGGUACUGUAUGAAUAAGCACCGGCUAACUCCGUGCCAGCCGCCGCGGUAAUAC
rnacentral:rRNA from 1 species